rnacentral:rRNA from 1 species
GUGCCAGCCGCCGCGGUAACACGUAGGGGGCGAGCGUUGUUCGGAAUCAUUGGGCGUAAAGGGCGUGCAGGCGGCCGCCAAAGUCCGGCGUGAAAGACCCAGGCUCAACCUGGGGGGUGCGCCGGAUACUGGGCGGCUUGAGUACAGGAGGGGACGGCGGAAUUCCAGGUGUAGGGGUGAAAUCUGUAGAUAUCUGGAGGAACACCGAUGGCGAAGGCAGCCGUCUGGCCAUGUACUGACGCUGAGGCGCGAAGGUGCGGGGAGCAAACAGGUUUAGAUACCCUGGUAGUCCGCACAGUAAACGAUGUGCACCAGGCGGCGGGGGCAACCUCGCUGCCGCAGUCAACGCAUUAAGUGCACCGCCUGGGGAGUAUGCCCGCAAGGGUGAAACUCAAAGAAAUUGACGG